rnacentral:rRNA from 1 species
UACGGGGGGGAGCAAGCGUUGGUUCGGAUUUACUGGGCUGUGAAAGGGCGCGGUAGGCGGUCGUGACAAGUCACUUGUGAAAUCUCCGGGCUUAACUCGGAACGGAUCCGAAGUGAUACCUGUCGGACUAGAGUACGAGAAGGGGCAACUGGGAAUUCUCGGGUGUAGCGGUGAAAUGCGUAGAUAUCGAGAGGAACACCUGCGGCGAAGGCGGGUUGCUGGGCUGAUACUGACGCUGGAGGCGCGAAAGCCCAGGGGAGCGAACGGG